CCUACGUGGGGCAGCAGUGAGGAAUAUUGGUCAAUGGGCGGGAGCCUGAACCAGCCAAGUCGCGUGAGGGAAGACGGUCCUAUGGAUUGUAAAUCUCUUUAGUCGGGGAGCAAAGCCGGGCACGCGUGCCCGGAGGGACAGUACCCGCAGUAUAAGCAUCGGCUAACUACGUGCAAGCAGCCGCGGUAAUACGGAGGAUGCGAGCGUUAUCCGGAUUAAUGGGGUUUAAAGGGUGCGUAGGCGGAUUUUUAAGUCAGCGGUAAAAUGUCGGGGCUCAAUCCGGGCCGGCCGUUGAAACUGGGGAUCUGGAGUGGGCGAGAAGUAUGCGGAAUGCGUGGUGUAGCGGUGAAAUGCGUAGAUAUCACGAAGAACACCGAUUGCGAAGGCAGCAUACCGGAGCCCGACUGACGCUGAUGCACGAAAGCGUGGGUAUCAAACAGGAUUAGAUACCCCAGUAGUC
rnacentral:rRNA from 1 species